rnacentral:misc_RNA from 1 species
GCAAACUUGGUCAUUUAGAGGAAGUAAAAGUCGUAACAAGGUCUCCGUUGGUGAACCAGCGGAGGGAUCAUUACAGAGUUGCAAAACUCCAAACCCAUGUGAACAUACCUCGUGUUGCCUCGGCGGCGAGCGAAGUGCUCGGGAGGUGCCUACCCGGUACUUACCCGGUAGCUACCCUGUAGCCUCCUACCCUGGAGCUGCGAGGUACCUACCCUGGAGCUACCCUGUAGUAACCUACCCGGUAGCUACCCUGGAGCACAUGCGCAUCCGCCGGCGGACCACUCAAACUCUUGUUUCUGUGUGGCACAUCUGAGUAAUUAUACAUAAUAAGUCAAAACUUUCAACAACGGAUCUCUUGGUUCUGGCAUCGAUGAAGAACGCAGC